CCCAGUCAGAUUGAGCGAUGCCUGCAGCCCUCACGCAUACAAGUAGAGCGGCAGUAGGACGUUAGUGUUGCCGGCGAGCGGCGGACGGGUGAGUAAUGCCUAGGAAUCUGCCCAGUAGUGGGGGAUAACACGGGGAAACUCGUGCUAAUACCGCAUACGUCCUACGGGAGAAAGCGGGGGACCUUCGGGCCUCACGCUAUCAGAUGAGCCUAGGUCGGAUUAGCUAGUUGGUGGGGUAACGGCUCACCAAGGCGACGAUCCGUAACUGGUCUGAGAGGAUGAUCAGUCACACUGGAACUGAGACACGGUCCAGACUCCUACGGGAGGCAGCAGUGGGGAAUAUUGGACAAUGGGGGAAAGCCUGAUCCAGCCAUGCCGCGUGUGUGAAGAAGGUCUUCGGAUUGUAAAGCACUUUAAGCGGGGAGGAAGGGUCGUUGGCGAAUACCUGGCAGUCUUGACGUUACUGGCAGAAUAAGCACCGGCUAACUUCGUGCCAGCAGCCGCGGUAAUACGAAGGGUGCAAGCGUUAAUCGGAAUUACUGGGCGUAAAGCGCGCGCAGGCGGUUGGGUAAGUUGGAUGUGAAAGCCCCGGGCUCAACCUGGGAAUUGCAUCCAAAACUGCCCGGCUAGAGUACGGUAGAGGGUGGUGGAAUUUCAGGUGUAGCGGUGAAAUGCGUAGAGAUAGGAAGGAACACCAGUGGCGAAGGCGACCACCUGGAGCGCCCCCUGGCAGAUACUGACAUCAGGUGCGAAAGCGUGGGAGCAACAGGAUAGAUACCCGGUAGUCCACGCCGUAACGAUGUCGACUAGCCGUUGGGUCCCUGAGAGCUUAGUCCGGCAGCUAACGCAUUAAUUCGACCCCCUGGGAGUACGCCCGCAAGUUAAAACUCAAAGGAAUUGACGGGGGCCCGCACAAGCGGUGGAGCAUGUGGUUAAUUUCGAAGCAACGCGAAGACCCUUCCCUGCCCUUGACAUCUCUGGGAUCCGGGAAGAGAUACCCAGGGCCCUUCGGGAUCGCAGCGCCAGGGGCUGCAGGGCGGUCGUCAGCUCGUGUCGGGGGAUGUUGGGUUAAGUCCGCAACCGAGCGCACCCCUUGUCCUUAGUUCCCAGCAGAUUCGGUCGGGCACUCUAGGGAGACUGCCGGUGACAAACCGGAGGAAGGUGGGGAUGACGUCAAGUCAUCAUGGCCCUUACGGCCAGGGCUACACACGUGCUACAAUGGUGGGUACAGAGGGUUGCCAAGCCGCGAGGCGGAGCUAAUCCCAGAAAGCCGAUCGUAGUCCGGAUCGCAGUCUGCAACUCGACUGCGUGAAGUCGGAAUCGCUAGUAAUCGCGAAUCAGAAUGUCGCGGUGAAUACGUUCCCGGGCCUUGUACACACCGCCCGUCACACC
rnacentral:rRNA from 1 species